UUAAGAAAACAAGUAUCCUAUGAAAAUCCUAGUGCAAGAUAAAGCUGGGCCCCAGGAGAUCUAGAAGGUGGUUCUGGGUUCAAGGUGGGUAUGGGGAAUAGCUUAUCUGUCUCUCAGGGUAUCUUUGUUCCUCAUUACUAGCUUCCUCUGUUGACUCAUGGUUUCUCUCUCCUCAUAACACCAGUUUGUACAUGGCAUGACAUAACUGCUCCUCUCCCCAUCAUCUUUUGGCUCUGGUCCCUGCUGCAGAUGGUUUUAUUUAGUCUCUCAGUUUCCCAAUUCUAAUUUUGUAAGAGAGGAAUACAAAUGGUAUAGCUCAACUUGUCAAGCCCAUGUUGCUAGCCAGGUGAUAGAUGGGCUGUUUUGAAGACAGGUGGCCACUUUUCAUCAACGCAAGCCAGGGGGACAACAUGUUUGGCACAGCUCAUGACUGCUGCAACUCAGCACAGCUUGCACGGAGUGGUGCCUUCAAAGGAGAUGUGAACCAAAAGGCACAGUAAAAUAUAUAUGUAUAAGCCUUCUGCUUAGUAUGUAACUUGAAAGAUAAUGACGUGUCCAUUCAUGAGCUUCGAACACCCAUGUUCUUACUUUCUUAAUUAAGAGUAAAAAUAGCAUCUGACCCCAGCCCAAACCUCUUAGCCCCACUGCCAACUCCCUGAGGUAAAGAAAAAAGAAGAGGGCAGGAGAUAGACAAAUCCUGAUAAACUGACAGCACUAGCCUUAAAGCCAUCCCUCAGCAGGCAGUCUGUCAGUUUGCUUUACACACUAUGCUCACCUCAUCUUCUAAGUUUGUCCAAAUACCAUGUAAGGCCAGGGCUCAAUGUUAACUAAAAGAAGGGAAGCAGCAUCACAAACCAACAGAUGGCUAUUGAGAGUUUAUCGUUCUUGGGCUAUUUUAUUCCCUAGAGUUAUACAUGCAGGAGAGUAAAGCAUGCUAUUUUGACAGCCACCUAAUAACUACUGUCAGACACUUGUACUACUUCUCAAUUUAAGUUUCCCCUAGAUAACCUUUUCCCUUAUCAACUCCCUGUUUCAACAACAAUAAAUGCCACACCUGAUAUAGUCAAUAGGAGGUUUGCUACUGACAACUGCCUGGGCAGAGGAGGAAACAAACAAACAAACAAAAAAACCACUAACCACCAUUGACAACCCAUCUCACAAAGAGAGUUACAGAUGAAGAGAAAUUGAAAGGUUGCACACUCACUGCCUUGAAAACAGUGUUUCUCAAACUGAGAGCAGGACCUACUAUAAUUGAAGAAAUUCCAAAAAGUUUCAAAGACCAGAGCUGCUGCAAAGCCCUGAAGAAAUGUAAAAGAAUUUAACCUGUAUUCUUAUCUCACAAUUAUCCCUGAAUAACUUAGUUUAAGAGUUUUCUUGUAACUCUUAACAACAGUGAUUUUUAUCUUAUCAUUCCAAGUAAGUAAGUUAUGGCAGCUCUGCCGUGGGGAGUGGACAGAAUGGUGCUCUUUUGGUACUCAACAGGAACCAACGAUCAUUUUGUCCCAGGUGCCACCUAUCAUGCAUUCUUCAAAAUAGCUCUUCAAAAUCCCUUUCACUUUGUGCACACAAGGGACACCAUGUACCUAUUAAAAGGAAGGAAGUAGUACUAUAUGCACUGGCAUCCAAAUACAUUUUGGGUUUUGGGGGGUGACAGAACAUUCUCUGUUUUGAUUUUGGUGUAUACACUUGUCAAAACUGACAGAACAGUGUCCUUAAAAUGGUGAACUUUACUGUAUUAAAAUAUACCUUAUUAUUUAAAAUGGACAAAAAGCCACACUCAAAUGGCUUGUUCAUUUUAAUUAGAACAAUGGAUACUACAAAUGAUAUUUCUUGGGGGACCUCUUGGUGUUCCACACCAAGGCAGGGAUAAGUUAGGAAUAUUAGUCAGGCACUCCAAUCCUUGCAUGAAGAAGACUCUGGUUGGCCCAAUGUCCUUCACCCCUUGGAAUGCACCUUAGGGUCAGGAGUCCCAACAAAUCUUAUGUUCAGAAACUUUAUGAAGGACUAAGGUGUGCCCUCUGAUUAGAAGGUAAGCUGCAUCCUACCAUGAAAAUAUUGUCACAUCUGUCUCCAGUAAACUUUCACAUAAGAUAAUGGGUGAAAAAAAUAAGACAUGGAUUGUCUCUGGGCAUACAGAUUAGGCUGUAUGACUGUGUUGUGUCUGGUUAUUAAUGUACAUGUGGCAAAAUUUGAUCUGUAUUACUUUCACUGUAAUACAUGAAUUGUGGGGAAGAAAACUACAGCCUUCAUCUACCUCAAAUUAUUGGAGAUCAGUGACACCCACCAAAAUAAAAUCUAAUAACUGUGGACAACCAAACUGGCCUACUAGAUCAAUUUGUGACAAACAUUUCUUGGACUUCUGUACAAACAGGAAUGCAUCCAAUCUGAAAAUCCACUUUAAGUAAAGCCAAAAUCAAUGAAAUAAAAUAGAUCUACUUUCCUAAUCUGGCUGCAUGCCUAGCAGGGAUGAGGAAAUGAGAGUUUUUCAUGUGUGGUACUUAUUUACAAGUACAGUAGUCCCCCUCUAUCUGUGGGGCAUAAGUUCCAAGACCCCCAGUGAAUGCCUGAAACCUCAGAUAAUACUGAACCUUAUAUAUACUAUGUUUUUUCCUCUACAUACAUAACUAUGAUAAAGUUUAAUUUAUAAAUUAGGCACAGGAAGAGGUUAACAAAAAUGACUAAUAAUAAAACAGAACAAUUAUAACAAUAUACUUUAAUAAAUGUGGGCUCUUUCUCUCAAAAUACUUUAUUGUGCUAUACUCACCCUUCUUCAUGAGAUGACAUGAGAUGAUACAAUGCUUAUGUGAUGAGAUGAAGUGAGGUGAAUGAUGUAGGCAUUGGGACAUAGCAGUAGCCUACAACACUGCUUGAAUACAAGCACUGCGAUACAGCAAUAGUCAAUUUAAUAACCCAGACAGAUAGCUACUAAGUGACUAAAGGGCAGAGAGUGUACCUAGUGUGAAGAUGCUGGACAAAGGGAUGAUUCAAGUGCCAGGCAGAAUGGAGAAGAACAGUACAAGAUUUCAUCACACUGCUCAGAACAGCACAUAAUUUAAAACCCAUUAAUUGUUUUCAGGAAUUUUCCAUUUAACAUAUUCACACGGCAGUUGAAUGUGGGUAACUGAAACCAUGGAAAGUGAAGCCAUGGAUAAGUGGUGACUACUAUAAUACUAUUAAACGGAUUUGUUUCAUGGAAAGAUUUUCCAUUUAACCUGUUGCUCACCUAGGGUGUUUUAUGCAAAGGGUCAGAGUCAAACUUCACAACAUGGGUCUAGAAACAAAAGAUGA